GAAAAGAAACUAACAAGGAUUCCCCUAGUAACUGCGAGUGAAGCGGGAAAAGCUCAAAUUUAAAAUCUGUUAGCCUUUGGUUGACCGAGUUGUAAUUUAGAGAAGCGUUAUCCGCGUUGGACUGUGUAUAAGUUUCCUGGAAGGGGACAUCAUAGAGGGUGAGAAUCCCGUCUUUGACACAGACUACCAAGGCUUUGUGAUGCGCUCUCGAAGAGUCGAGUUGUUUGGGAAUGCAGCUCAAAAUGGGAGGUAAAUUCCUUCUAAAGCUAAAUAUUGGCGAGAGACCGAUAGCGAACAAGUACCGUGAGGGAAAGAUGAAAAGAACUUUGGAAAGAGAGUUAAACAGUACGUGAAAUUGCUAAAAGGGAAACGCUUGAAGUCAGUCGCGUUGGCUGGAAAUCAACCUUGCUCUUGCUUGGUGUAUUUUCUAGUCGACGGGUCAACAUCAGUUUUGAUUGCUGGAUAAAGUGUGAGGGAAUGUGGCAUCUUCGGAUGUGUUAUAGCCCUUGCUCGUAUACAGCGGUUGGGACUGAGGAACUCAGCACGCCGCAAGGCCGGGUCUUCGGACUACGUUCGUGCUUAGGAUGUUGGCAUAAUGGCUUUAAUCGACCCGUCUU
rnacentral:rRNA from 1 species